rnacentral:rRNA from 1 species
UACAGAGACUGCAAGCGUUAUUCGGAUUCACUGGGCGUAAAGGGUGCGCAGGCGGCCAAGUGUGUCAGGUGUGAAAUCCCGAGGCUUAACCUCGGAACUGCGCCUGAAACUACUUGGCUAGAGUACUGGAGAGGGUAACGGAAUUCACGGUGUAGCAGUGAAAUGCGUAGAUAUCGUGAGGAACACCAGAGGCGAAGGCGGUUACCUGGACAGUUACUGACGCUCAGGCACGAAAGCGUGGGGAGCAAAGGGG